AACGAACGCUGGCGGCAGGCUUAACACAUGCAAGUCGAGCGCCCCGCAAGGGGAGCGGCAGACGGGUGAGUAACGCGUGGGAAUCUACCCAUCUCUACGGAAUAACGCAUGGAAACGUGUGCUAAUACCGUAUACGUCCUUCGGGAGAAAGAUUUAUCGGAGAUGGAUGAGCCCGCGUUGGAUUAGCUAGUUGGUGGGGUAAAGGCCUACCAAGGCGACGAUCCAUAGCUGGUCUGAGAGGAUGAUCAGCCAAACUGGGACUGAGACACGGCCCAGACUCCUACGGGAGGCAGCAGUGGGGAAUAUUGGACAAUGGGCGCAAGCCUGCUCCAGCCAUGCCGCGUGAGUGAUGAAGGCCCUAGGGUUGUAAAGCUCUUUCACCGGUGAAGAUAAUGACGGUAACCGGAGAAGAAGCCCCGGCUAACUUCGUGCCAGCCGCCGCAGUAACAC
rnacentral:rRNA from 1 species